GCCGAUGUAGCUCAGUUGGUAGAGCGGCUGUCUUGUAAACAGCGGGUCGGGGGUUCGAUUCCUCUCAUCGGCUCCA
rnacentral:tRNA from 1 species